AACAAAUUGAAGGUUGAGCAUCUAUUCCCAUGGAUGGAAACUGUUCUUCUUUUCCUCGAGUACUUCAAAAUAUAUUCCUGCUCUGCACAUGAUUACUUUGCUAUCUAUGAAUGCCUGGCUGGUUUAUACAAUUCUCGAAGCACAACCGACAGGCAACCUUGCAGCACGUUCUUGUUAGUGAACACCUAAGAUAUUGAUACCUAGUUAGGUAGGGAGCAUAGCUUGAAGCCGUUCUUACAGAGUCCCAUUACUUUUUCAUACAUGCCUCAAUGUUACCUCGUCAACAAGAGUUGUUAUUUUUAUCCAAAUUAGGAUAAAGGAAAAGGUUGGUUAGUCA
rnacentral:misc_RNA from 1 species